UUGGACCAAAAUGUAUUUUCGAUGCUUCAAAAAAUUCUAACUGACCCUCUGAUGUCACAUGGACUACUUUGAAGAUGUUUUUCUUACCUUUCUGGACAUGGACAAUAGACCGUACACAUAGUUUCAAUGGAGGGACUGAGAGCUCUCGGACUAAAUCUAAAAUAUCUUAUACUGUGUUUCAAAGAUAAACGGAGGUCUCACUGGUUUGAAACGACAUGAGGGCGAGUCAUUAAUGACAUAAUUUGGAUUUUUGGGUGAAAUAACCCUUUAAGCUGAAUGAGUGCGUGGAGGCAAUAACUGGAAUCCAUGUAGAAUCACAGUUUUUAAGCCUUUUACAGCUGAUUUAAUAUGAUUAGAGCUUGAUAUUUUUGCAACAUCUUACAUGAUUUUGACAUAAAAAAAAAUAUUGGAGCAAACCACCAUCAAAAAGAAUAGCUGAGUAAAAAUUGAUCUCAGCUGAGCCUGCUAUGUGUGGAAAGUAAUUGCUCUUUACAUUGAGCCUUUUUCUUAUAGGCAUGGAGUGGAAGUGACUCAACAAAGAUGAAAAACGAGAACAUGGAUAAAGAGAAUGCAGUGGAUCGAUCUGGACACAGUGGAGAUUUGAGAGUGUUGCAGAAGCACACAGAUGGUCCCCUUAGUGCUCCAGACUCAUAGCUGCGAAGAAACAGAUGACCGACCAGAGGAUGGUGCAAUCCAAUCCCACAUAGGAUGAGAGGAAAUGGGGGAUGCCCAGGGAACUCCAUAGACCUUGAGAGCAGUGCUUAACUGAAAAAGACUGUGCUGGUAAACAAAACUUAUUUCUUAAUCAUUAAAGCAAGCUAAAUCCUUGGUUAUCAUAUAAGUCACCACAAGUGGUUAUGCCCAAUAUAGACCAAGAGGGGUGACAAAUGGCCGAUUUCCACAUAAAAAAUGUAAGUUGUGCAAUAAGCAUGUUACAAAAUUUGAAAGCUCCUCCCACGAGGUGUUCCACCCUUUUCCAGAUCCCAAUAGAAUGGUCUACAACCGAGCCAAAUUUAUUUUUUAUAAUUUUUUAUUUCCUGAGCCGGCAAAUAACAAUUACUCUCCAUGAAACUUUAGAUUGAGGAUCGAUCCAAGUAUGAAGAGCCUUAAAUUCAAAUGGAUAUGGAACAGCCAAUCCUCCUGAAAGUAUAGGACACUGCAAUGUGACAAGUUUUAUUCCGGGUCGUUUACCAUUACAGAGAAAGAGACAGACUUCUUGAAUAGUAAAUCAGAAAUGAUACCAUGAACAUUAAACGUCCAACAGUUAACUGUUUUUGCUAGUGUGUUUAGUUUAUCCGUUUUGAAUGCUAUUUGCUAUUUUACCAAAACCUUGACAUGUAAUAACCUAGAACACUGUCUAACACUUGAUGGCUGCUUUGCUAGGUCUUCGUCGUCAGAUAGCAACCUAUGUGUGCUAUUUGAUAGCAAUCUUUCAUUUGAAAGCCGUAUUUAUAACAUUUUCCAUUUUAGAUUAUUAGGUUAUUAUUGUAAGAUUAUGGCUUUACCGGGUGGUUGCUCUGUGCACUUAAUAAUCAAACUCUGGCUGGUCCAAAAUUCAUCAGCUAGAGUUCUAACUAGAACUAGGAAGUAUGACCAUUAGCCCGGUUCUGUCAACCCAAAUCCAGUCCAUUUCCAGUUCAUAUGGUCACCUUAGUCACCCGGACCUAGUCUGUAUCCAUAUCAGAUGGUGGAUCAACACCUUCAACCACAACAGCCCUAAAUGGCAGCAGAGACCAUGACAAUGAGAUGAGCCCUAGAAACAGAUAACCUGUGAAGACAUCUUCAACUAGAUGGCCAUUGGCCCAAAUCCUCAGCAAAGACCAUGAGAACCAGAUGAGUUCUCUGCACAGACCCCGUGGCCAGCUUUGACUCCUUCACCAUUUGAUGUAUUCCAAUCUUCAAACAUAAGGAACUUGAUGGAUUUUUUGAGUGAUGGCAGUCCACAGUUUGACUUUUCUUGCAGCCUGGAAAUAAACCACGCCAUGUUGGUUUUGUAUGGCAAGAGGAGAACUGGCCACUGGUUUCUCAUUCUGCGUUUCUGUCACAGAUGGGUUUGGGUUCCUUACCACUGUCACCUUUUGGCUUGCUUAUUUGGGGACAUUUAAUAUUGGGUAAUAUUGUCUAUUUGAUUGCACAGACACUAUUGAAAGAGAAGAGAACUGAGCUGGACGAGGACAUCACUGAAUCAAUGAUGAACUGACUUUUACUAAAAAUAAUAAUAAUAAUAAAUGACUGUUAACUAUUGUCUUAUUUUUGGAGAUGCUUUAAAUAAGAAUUUAACUUUUGAAGUUAGUUAAAAUUGAAGUUAAUAAAAAAUACAACUGUUCAUUGUUUUUCAUGUGAGCUCAGGUCCAUUAAAUAAUGUUAGAAACAACUUUUAAUUUAACUAAUGUAUUAGUAAAUUAACUAAGAUUUGCAAACAAAAAUGCAAAAAAAGGAUCACAAAAUUGUUUUGUUUACAACUCACUCAACAUUUUAUUGAUUUAAUUGUUUAUUAAGAUAAGAGAGUAAAUAAUUAAUUAUUGGCCAGAGAAAAUAUUCCAAGCCCAACUUAACCACUAUUUUAGCCGCCAUAUCUCUAAGCCCAAAAUUGUAUUUUCAAUAGCUCUUGCUUAAAAAAAUACUGGAGAGGGAAGAAUUAUUCUGGUUGAGAUGGACUGAAAAUAUAAUUGCAGUUUUAUAAACCCAACUAUAUUGUACUAUACACAUUGGUGUUACCUACUGUAGCAAGUUAAGAAAAUGGAUAGGCAGAAAUGAAAUUAUAGGAUAUCACGGGAUGGAAAACUCAAGAUCUGAUUAGAAAUGUUGCUCCAAAAUAGGUAUAUAUAGUUAUUAUUUUAUUGUUAAAUAUAGUCUAGCAUCAUUACAGCAUAACAAUCUUUAUUUCCUUAUUUCCUUGUGUUAAAGCUUAACAUGUUCAAAUGUACAUUUAUAUUAAUAUUGUGGGACUAACACAAUGUGUGUGUCUUCAUAUUUUUAAUUUUUUUAAUGUGUCAUCACAACCAUAUCCUGCUUUGAUAUAACGGCCUGGAAUGGUAAUGGCUUGCUGGAAUAAUUAGGUGAUUACUGUUUAUUAAAUACAGUAUUAGCAGGAUAUUAUAUUUAAUAAAGUUAAUAAAAUGUGUUUCAUUUCAGAUUCUUUUAAAAAUGUGUCUCUCAGCAGAGGUAAUAUAGUUAUUUGCAGGAACAUCUGGUAUAGGACUGAUGUAAAUAAGGACUGAUGUAACAUGAGACUACUCAUUGUUGCUUGUUACCUUUGUCAGAUAACCCAAAGCAGGAUGAAAACAUGUUUAUUUCAUGACUCUGUGCUUUAAUUAGGCUCAAGGGAGGCAAUCUAACUGUCAUAACGCUUCUAAUAAGCACAAACUAUUAUUGUAUUGUAUGUGUGGUCAAUAAACAUUGGCUCUUUGUA